rnacentral:rRNA from 1 species
AAAUUACCCACUCCCAGCUNNGGGAGGUAGUGACGAAAAAUNNCAAUNCAGGACUCAUAUUAGAGGCCCUGUNAUUGGAAUGAGUACACUUUAAAUCCNUUAACAAGGACCUAUUGGAGGGCAAGUCUGGUGCCAGCAGCCGCGGUAACUCCAGCUCCAAUAGCGUAUAUUAAAGUUGUUGCGGUUAAAACGUUCGUAGUUGAACUUGUGCUUCAUACGGGUAGUACAACUAUAAUUGUAGUUUGUACUAUACCUUAUGUAUGUAAGCGUAUNACCGGUGGAGUUCUUAUAUGUAUUAGAUACUUGUAUUUAUGCAUAUUCCUCCUAUUUAAACCUGCUUCAGUGCUCUUCAUCNAGUGUUGUUGUGGGCCGGUACAAUUACUUUGAACAAAUUAGAGUGCUUAAAGCAGGCUCCAAAUGCCNGAAUAUUUUGUGCAUGGAAUAAUGAAAUAAGACCUCUGUUCUACUUUCAUUGGUUUUUAGAUCAAGAGGUAAUGAUUAAUAGAAGCAGUUUGGGGGCAUUAGUAUUACGACNCGANAGGUGAAAUUCUUGGACCGUCGUAAGACUAACUUAAGCGAANGCAUUUGCCAAAGAUGUUUUCAU